rnacentral:rRNA from 1 species
UACGUAGGGGGCUAGCGUUGUCCGGAAUCAUUGGGCGUAAAGAGCGUGUAGGCGGCCCGGUAAGUCCGCUGUGAAAGUCGGGGGCUCAACCCUCGAAAGCCGGUGGAUACUGUCGGGCUAGAGUGCGGAAGAGGCGAGUGGAAUUCCUGGUGUAGCGGUGAAAUGCGCAGAUAUCAGGAGGAACACCAAUUGCGAAGGCAGCUCGCUGGGACGUAACUGACGCUGGAGACGCGAAAGCGUGGGGAGCGAACAGG